rnacentral:rRNA from 1 species
UACGUAGGGUGCGAGCGUUGUCCCGGAAUUAUUGGGCGUAAAGAGCUCGUAGGCGGUCUGUCGCGUCUGCUGUGAAAUCCCGAGGCUCAACCUCGGGCCUGCAGUGGGUACGGGCAGACUAGAGUGCGGUAGGGGGAGAUUGGAAUUCCUGGUGUAGCGGUGGAAUGCGCAGAUAUCAGGAGGAACACCAAUGGCGAAGGCAGAUCUCUGGGCCGUAACUGACGCUGAGGAGCGAAAGCAUGGGGAGCGAACAGGG